rnacentral:rRNA from 1 species
GGCUGGGUCGGUCGGGCCGGGGCAGGAAGCCAGGCUGGAGCCGCAGCGUGGCUGGGCGAGCCUGCUUGCCAAUUCCUUGGCGAGUUGGGCGAGCCCGGACUGGCGCGGGGUCCGCCCGGUGGACCGUCCCGGCUGCGCGGUCGAGCAAUCGGCCGCUUCGGCCGACGCCCAACAGCUGACUCAGAACUGG